rnacentral:rRNA from 1 species
UACCUGCAGCUCGAGUGGUAACCGCUAUUAUUGGGCCUAAAGCGUCCGUAGCCGGUUUGGUAAAUAUCUGGGUAAAACGUGGGGCUUAACUUCACGAAUUUCGGAUAGACUGCCAGACUUGGGAUCGGGGGAGGUCAGAGGUACUCCAGUGGUAGCGGUGAAAUGUUGUAAUCCUUGGAGGACCACCGGUAGCGAAGGCGUCUGACUAGAACGAGUCCGACGGUGAGGGACGAAGCCCUGGGGCGCAAACCGGAUUAGAUACCCGGGUAGUCCAGGGUGUAAACUAUGUGGGCUUUGUAUUGGAGGUCCCACGUGGGCGUCCAGUGCAGAAGAGAAGUUGUUAAGCCCACCGCCUGGGAAGUACGGUCGCAAGGCUGAAACUUAAAGGAAUUGGCGGGGGAGCACAGCAACGGGAGGAGCGUGCGGUUU